GUUCAUCAUCACCGUUAAUCAUGGCCGACGAUGACGAUGCCAGGAAAGCCAUUGUCCAAGCAGAGAAAAUACUGAAAAAGGCACUAGAAAUGCCAAGAUCUGAAGUGAUCGGAGGUAGCCAGUAAGCGGCAAAAUCGUAAAUGAUCCAAUCUGGAGCAGAAGUUUUUAAAAACUGAAACAAGGGUUCUUUUAGCCCAUCAUAAGCUAUUUUAAGGUAAGGAAUUUUGUUGGUAGGUAUAUCCAUGGUGGCCUCUGCAUCAGGGGGAAGAUUGUCUACCUGAGGUAAGGGAAGGCUUAUGAAAUGUAUAUUGGAUGAUAAAUUUGGAGGGAUUUUUGGCAAACGUUGAAUAUUCCUAGGAGUAGAUAUAAAGGAGAUUUUGUGACCCUUCUGGGCUAUGUGUUUGGCUACCUUAAGAUAAGGGAUUAUAUGGCCAAAUGCCAGCCAUGGAAAUAAAGCAACAUGAAGCUUUUUAGUUUCAGUCAUGGUGAAUUUCUUGGUGUUCAUCUACUUUGCAACCCUCAGCGUUUAAAUAGACAUUGUUUAUUAUUCAUCUGUGUGUACCAAAGCAAAUGUCAGGGGCGAGCUAUUGUUUAUAAUUUCUGUGGGCCCCAAAGUCAGUUGUGUUAGAUAUACUCCAUGUAGUAUAAUACACACUUCAUUUGUAAUAAAAUUCAAAUUAGAGGGCAAAUAUGAGAUUUAAUACAUGAACUUUGACGCAAAUAGAAGACUGGAAAUGCCCAAUAUGACGGAGCAGUCGGAGGAAGAAGAAAGAGAAAUCCUGAGCAAUACUAGUUGCUAAAGUGGCGAAGAAGACACAAAUGAUAGCACUUGAGUGAUUUUAAUAAUCAGAGUCGAUUUUCUAUUUUAUCACUUAUGCCUUUUGUUUUCAUGAGAACUGAGCAGGUGAUGAAGGAGAUGGAUUUUUAGAAGACGUUGAUUUUUACGAGGCUUUCUAAAUCAAACUGAUGUUCAUUUCAAUUCUCAAAUCUCUUUACUUUUUCAUAUUUUUAUGAAAUUAAAUUUAUGGUCUUUUCUAUAUCUAUUGCAGGGUGUUUAUGUUUGAGAAGAGAGAGAAAAUGAAAUUGUUAAAAGAAGGAAGAGAUGCUGCAUGUUAAGAUAGACUGGAACCAUAGAUGGAAAAGAUUAAAGGUUCAAAGGUCUCUCAAAAUAUAAAAACUUCUUUUUCUUCUAUUAAACUUGAAAUAAUAAUUAUAAUAACAUCAAUUAAGAAUUAAGAAAAUUGUCACAUACAUGGAUCGGAGGAAGAGGUAUUUGAGAUAGAAAAACAGAAGUUAGAGAUGCUGCAGAUCAAUAUGAACACACAUAGAAGGAAGCUGGAGAUUGUGGAAGUCUGAAACAGAGGUAUAUGAGAUGCUAUGGAUUAUAUUUACACUAUUACCCUUUUCACUUCAAUACGAUUGAUUGCCGACCUUUUUUACUUGUGGGACCCUCUAUAUUUAUUAUAUUAUAUUAUAAGGACCAAAUGACCGGGCGACUCGAACUGUGUAUCACUGCCCUUUAAAAAAUUCAUCUUGUGUUUCGUAUAAGGCAGGUACACUUUUUAGUUUAAUCACAACCGCUUAUCAAGUGUGGCGGGAAAGACUUUUAAGGCGACUCAAAACCUGCUCAUGGUGACGGUUUUGGAAAAGCCACUAAUGGCAGAAGCUUUCAAAAUUCGAAUAAGACAGGAGAUAAAGAUGUUUCAGAGGGCAUGAUUGGCGGAGAUGAUUAUGCUCCUGCGGUGGAUAAGUCAGCAGUGGACACUGCACAUGUGGACCAGGCAUGAGAUGAUUGGCAAUACGAUUGAUUGCCGACCUUUUUUACUUGUGGGACCCUCUAUAUUUUUGAUAUUAUAUUAUAUUUACACAAGCCCUUUAAAAAAUUCAUCUUGUGUUUCGUAUCAAGGCAGAAACACUUUUUAGUUUAAUCACAGCCACAAGUGUGGUGGGAAAGACUUUAAACACACGGGCGGAGCCGCAUGCAGCACAUAGGGCAUGCUCAUCCCGAAAUAAAAAAUUUUCAUGGAUUUGAUGAAGCCUAAAAUGAUAUUGUUCUCUGAUUCCAUAUAUAGAAAGAUAAUUCGUGGUUAGCAUUUGCUAUUCAUAAUUAUAUGGACUAAAAGAACAUGGCACGUGUUUACUAUUUUGCUCGUUUAUGAUUCAAAUAUAAAAUAUUUAUUGAGGCUUUAAGCAUAGCAUUAAAGUAAAUAAAUAAAUUUUACAUUUAAUUUUUGUGGAGGGAUAUGUGGUAAAUUUUGGACAAAAUUUUCAUCAAGAUAAGCUUAAAAUUAUAAUUUUAAAAGAUAUCCAUAUUGAAAAAUUUAAAAUUUAAAAAUAUAUAAUCUAGUAAAUAUAUAUAUAUAUAUAUAUAUAUAUUUUUCAUUUAUCCAGAUACACAUCAUUUUACUUAGCUACCUCUUUUCUAUCUCCAUCCUCCACCAAAGAAGCUUUAAUAAAUAUUAUAAAUCAGGCUUAACGCGUAAUUUUACUUUUAAACUAUUACCAUUUCUCCUGGUAGCCUCUUGAACUUUGUGGGAUUCUAUCGUAGUGACCUUAUAUUAAGGGUGGCCACGGUUCCAAAACCAACGGUUUCGAAAUCGAACUAAAAAUUAACAGUUCCGGUUACGGUUUGAAAUUGAACAAUUCUAAUUUCGGUUUGAAACCAAAAAUUAACAGUUCUAUCGUAUUGACCCUAUACGAAACUAAAACCGUUGGGUCCGACUGAAACUAGAACCCCAGUUCUUCAGUAAUAAUAAAUUCUUUAGUGACCAUGUCCCUCGCAAGAAGAGCGUCAAUCGCGUUUGGGAGAGUAAGGACGAAUUUUCUCAGUCAAUGAAUGUCCAACGUGGCGAGAUCAACCGUUGUUAUUGUCAAAUAGCUUAAGGAGUUUCUUUACCAAUUUUCUGUCGUCAAAAUCAAACCCAGGAACGACGUCAAUCCCUCUCUCUCUCUCUCAACUGAUUUUGUUUACCAAUUUUCUGUCUUCCUUUAUACUUUCAUUUUUUAGAAUCGCAUUUUUCUCUGUCUCUUUCGCUUCUCAUUUUGUUCAUCAAAAGAAAGUAAUAACAAAGAUGAAUUUAAUGGUGAUGCUUUGAUAUUUAUUUACACAAGAGAAGGAUUUCAACAGCUCAUCUUCUCAACAGAGAAACGGUAGCCCCAUGUUGACGAAUUGAGCAAGUGGUGGCGGUGACUGAUGGCAAUGGAAACCCAUAUUUGAAUACCCUUCGGAAACUAGAGAAGCAAGACGAUGGCGUUCAUUUGAUGCUGGCUCGAGAUCCCAUAUUACAAGUUUCUUUAAUUAUAUUAUGUUCACCAAAUCUACUCAUAGUGUUGUGAAAUUAAUUUUAAGAUUUUAAGAUUGCUUUGAAAAGGAGAUAUGGAAGAUUAUUAAGAUAGCAUAUAGGAUUAAAUUUUCAUUGGUUUCAUGUGCUGCGAUACUUAUUUUCUUUUUCUCAUUGGAGAUGGUUUAUGAGUACUUAUUACAAGCUCAUGAUAAGGAACCAACAGAUUGCCCUAAAUUAUGAACAUACAUUAAUUUCUAGUUUGUUAAUACUAACAGAAUUAUCAUUCUAUUUCAACUUAGCCUAUGUUACCUAAGAAUCUGAGAUGUCGGAAUCAUAUUUGAACUGUUAAUAAGACACACAUAAUUUUCUAAUAUAUAAUUAUUGAUAAAAUAAAGUAAAGAGUUCAUAUGUAUGACCCUGCUCUGCUGAAAACUUUGUGGCGCAUGGCUGUAUGGUCCUAUUCAUUCAUGGAAAUUAUGAGUCAAUUCAACUUGCGAGCAAGUCGAUGAUCUUGUGUUAUUAAUGAGCAGAGAUAGCACCGUAUAUUUAUUUCAACAAGAAGAGAAAGGUCCCCUUAGGUUUACGUACUUAUAUUCAGAUUCAGAGCAAUGGACCUUGAAAAUGAUUGACAACUCACAUUCUCAUAACUAGAUUGCUGCCCUCUGCACUGUUAUUUUGUAAUGAAACUAAAAAGGGAAUGUUUGUUUUUUUAAGUUAUGAAGAAUUGACAGCUGAUACCAUCUUUUUAAGGAUAAGAGUUCAAUCUCUGAUAACAACACUCAUGGGAACAAACUGUCAACCUGAGUUAAUUAUUCCAGACAUCAGCCCUAGACAAUUACAUAGUUAACUAUAUCAAAAUAAUAAUUAUCAAAAUAUUUACUCCAAUACACUUAUUUACCAUAAUUUUUUCUUAUAAAUAUGGUUUUAUAUAUCUAUCGAACAAUAUUUUUAUUUCAUUUAUUUAUAAUUUAUAAAUUAAUUUAAUUUUAUAUAUAUAUAUAUAUACCUUUUAAAUAAUAAAUGUUUGAAGUGGUUUAGUGGUAAAAUGUCUUAAUUGUACGCAAGAAGUCAUUAAAGACAAUUUCUUUUUCACGAUGUAAUGGUAUUUUGAAAUUUAAGUCAUCAUCUUAUUCUCUAGUAAAAAAAAAAUCAUUUUCCCUUUCCCAUUAUACUUAUUUAUGUUAAAAUUAAUUUUAUUGAUAAUAUAAAUAAUUAAUUUCACGGGAAUAAAAAAAUAAUAUGUUAAAAGCAUAAAUACAUUAAUCAUAUUAUUAAAAAAAAAAAACUUUUGCUUUUUAGCAUAAAUAAUACAACAAACAAAUUGUGCAAUUAUUGCAAACCAUAGGAACUAAAUAAUUUUUUUUCUAGCAAAAAAAAAAUCCACAUUAUAGACUGGUACACUAUUCGACCAUGAAGCCCCAGUUUACUGCUGAGUCAUGAAGAAAUCGUUCAAAGAACUGAGUCAAUUUAAAUUACAAGUAACUCGAUGAUGUUGCAGCAACUCAACAAAACGAUCUACGUAUCUGUCAUGGAGAUCUUUAUCUGCUAAUAACUCCCUCAUCUCCUUUGCAGCAUCUCUGUAUUCUUUUCCUUCCUUAUCAACCAUAACCAACCUCAAUGACUCAGCCACCGAGUCCCUUGUAAAAGACCCAUCUUGCUCAUCUCUGGUUAUUUCUACACCAACCUUCUUUUCUUCAAAAACUCUAGCAAUUAACCCUUGGUCCAGAGCAAUGGGCAGCAUAAUCAAAGCUCGUCCAAAAUAGAGUGCUUCUAUAAUUGAACUAUAACCACAGUGAGUCAAAAUCCCACCAACCGAUUCAUGACUCAGAAUUCUGAGUUGAGGUACCCAAGUUUUCCACACUAGCCCACGUCCCUGGACUCGCUCCUCAAAUUCAUUCGGCAGUCCGAGUGAGUUAUCUUUNNNNNNNNNNNNNNNNNNNNNNNNNNNNNNNNNNNNNNNNNNNNNNNNNNNNNNNNNNNNNNNNNNNNNNNNNNNNNNNNNNNNNNNNNNNNNNNNNNNNNNNNNNNNNNNNNNNNNNNNNNNNNNNNNNNNNNNNNNNNNNNNNNNNNNNNNNNNNNNNNNNNNNNNNNNNNNNNNNNNNNNNNNNNNNNNNNNNNNNNNNNNNNNNNNNNNNNNNNNNNNNNNNNNNNNNNNNNNNNNNNNNNNNNNNNGCGACUUUUGAGGGAAACGGAACCCACUUAGGUGGAACGGUGAAGUCCUCUGGCUGAGUCCGUAGAUCAUCACCGUUAAUCAUGGCCGAAGAUGAUCCAAAAAAUGUUAGAGUCCAACCACCAUAAAUACUGAAAAAGGCACUUGAGAUUCCGAGAUCGGCCGUAAUACGAGGUAACCAGAAAGGUGCGAAGUCGUAAAUAAUCCAAUCAGGAGUAGAAGUUUCUAGAAACUGAAGCAGAGGGCAUUGCAGGUUAUCGUAGGCUUUCUUGAGGUAUGGAACCUUGUGCGUGGGAAUGUCAGUGGUAGCCUCUGAAUUAGGGGGGAGAUGGUCUUCAGAAGGUUAAGUGAGGGUUACUAAAUGGACAAGGUUUGCUAAAUUUGGAGGGAUUUUGGGCAAACGCUGGAUGUUUUUAGGGGUAGAAAUAAAGGAGAUUUUGUGACCUCUUUUGGCUAAAAGCUUGGCGAGCUCGAGGAAUGGGAUUAUAUGACCAAACGCUAGCCAUGGAAACAGAGCAAUAUGGAGCUUUUUAUGUUCAUUCAUGGUGAACAGAGGACUAAUGUAGAAGCCUACAAGCUGCUUGUAGAAAAUCCCUAUAUUGAAAAAUGAAAAUCAUGAUAAGCAAAACUUUGGGCUAAUCGCGGUUGACAUUGUAUCAAAAAAUAUGCUUUAGCAGGAGUGAAAAUACUAAAAUGGCCUUGUUUUAAUUGAAGGUAGGGACAAAUCUUAGCAAAAUGAAACUUUACCAGUUGGAGGAUAAUUUAGAGACCAACCUGUGGAAAAGUAAAAGAAUCAAUUAAGAGUGGUUGAACCAAAUCUAUUUUUCAAUUAAAAAAUCAAUUAGUACUUAAAGAAAAAUUGUCAUGAUGCACAAAACUACUAUUUUGCACAAACCUACCAAUCUGGGAAUCUGGGAAAUUUUGAUUUAAUUGCUAAACAAUUAAUUUUUUUCCUCCUCUUUUUUUUUUUUUUUUUUUUUAAGAAAAACAAUCAAAUUAUUUUAUAUUUACUUUAUUAAUUAAAACAAUUUAUAUUAAUACAAUUCCUAGCAGCAUAUGUAUCUCAUUAUUAUUGACUCUUGCACACUGAAUACAAGCUCAUAUUGCGGCUCCCAAUUCACCGGAAUCAUUCGAUAACCGGGGACUCGGUGCACCCAACUCGGUGAGUUUGUAGAAGCUCAACGAAUUGGUCAAUAUAACGGUCAUGUAGUUCUUCAUUUGCAAAUAACUUCGACAUCUCUUUUGCAUUCUCUCUAUACAAUUUUCCUUCCUCCUCAACCAUAACCAAUUUCACCGAGUCAGCCACCGAGUCCCUUGUAAACUCUUUUACUGAGCUUACAACUCAGUGAACUCGUUCUGACUCAAAUCCACUUCGCUUCCAAAUGCUAUGUAUACUACAGACCCUUUUUCUUGCUUGUCUAGCCAAUCUCGGAUUUUAAGCCACGUAUCAUCUUCAUCACCAUUGCCAUCUAGAGUUAAAGGUGGCAGUAGACCUACUGGAAACACAGGCUUACCAUGAAGCUCUCUAACAAGUCUUAAAAAAUCAGCUUCUAGCUCGAAACAGCUCCUAAUAGCUAUAAUAUCACUACUCGCCAUUACUGAACGAACUAAUGAUCCAAAUAUGUGUUUGAGAAUACCUGAAUUGUCUACCUCGAAACGAUGGGGAAUUCUCUUUGCUUCAUGGAGUCGAUAUGCGACUUUCGAGGGAAACGGGAUCCAUUUAGGAGGGACAGUGAAGUCUUCUGGAUGAAAUCUUGAAUCAUCGCCGUCAAUCAUGGCCAAUGACGGUGAUGCCCAGAAAGUAAAGGUCAAACCACCGAAAAUACUAAAAAAAGGCACUAGAGAUCCCAAGAUCGGCCAGAAUAGGAGGUAACCAGUAAGGGAAACAGUCGUAAAUCACCCAAUUUGGAGUGGAAGUUUCUAAAAAUUGAACCAGAGGGUCUUUUAGGCUAUCAUAGGCCAUUCUAAGGUAUCGAAUUUUAUCGAAGGGUAAGUCUAUGGUGGCCUCUGCAUCAGGGGGGAGAUUGUCAACCUGAGGUAAGGGAAGGCUUAUGAAAUUUAUAUUGGAUGAUAAAUUUGGAGGGAUUUUUGGCAAACGUUGAAUGUUUCUAGGAGUAGAUAGAAAAGAGAUUUUGUGACCCUUCUGGGCUAUGCGUUUGGCGAGUUCGAGGAAUGGGAUCAUAUGGCCGAAUGCUAGCCAUGGAAAGAAAGCUACAUGAAGCCUUUUAGGUUCAGUCAUGGCGGAUUAUUGGUGUUACUCUGCAUUUCUUAGCUUCGUAUCGUGUCAUAUGUAGAAGUAGAACUAACGAGGAACCCAGCGAGCCAAAGUCCUGUGAUAUAAUUUGUAAUAUUUAAUUUUAUAUUUAAGUCUUUCAUCUCAAUCAAAUGAUGUGAUGUGUCAUGAUCGACUAUGAUACAUCAUACAACAACCUCGGUGGCGGUGCGGUGCUCCUGCAUUUUGGAUCGUGGGCCCUUGAAUUAUUAAAUGUUAGUAUUUUAUUUUUUCUUUUAAAAAGGAGGGAAUUACAUAUUAUACAACACUGGGCCGAAUGACCUCUACGUGAUCAGCAUCCAAAAAGCCUAGUCUGGAGGAGGAUUAUUUUAUUACUUCAUGUCUCCAUAAUAUAAUAAUUUUGUUUCUACAAAUACGAUUGGUUGUGAAAAAUCUAACAGUAAUUAAUAAAAUUUUUCAAUUUUACCCGUAAAAGAUAUGAUAAUUAAUUUCAAUUUUUUAAAAAAUAAUUUAAUUAAAUUAAUGAAUUAUUUUUAUAAUUUUAAAAAAUUAUUUUAAUAAUUUAUAUUUAUGGAUUGAAAGAGUAUUUAAUAAUUAAAAUAAUACUUUAAUUUUCUAUUCUUCACUUUGUAUGCAAAAUAGACUGGUUUUACAUCACCGUUGGAUUUGAAUUAGUAAAAUCAAUGUCUCCGUCCAUGAAUAUGGACUUAUAAGCACCCAUAUCAUUUUGAAAUUGAGAGGAUGUGAGAUAGAUAAUAAACUUUGACGUUAUGAGCACAAUAGGUCCUAUAUUUAUAAUAUGACAAAACAAUUUAGGGUAAAUUUAUAAAUUUAGAUUUUAAAUAAUUCAUAAUAAUUAGUUUUUAAUAGCCAAAAAUUCAAUAAUUAUAUAACUUUUUAAGAAAAAAACAACAAGAUACAUUAUUAAAAUUGAUAUAUUAUUCUAAAAAAGUAAAAUGUAUAAUAAAAAUUAUUAUUAAUAAUAUUAUUGGGACCGAUCCUUAUAAAAUUAUUUGUAACUUAUCUUCUUUGUUCUUAUUCUUUUGUUUUUUCUUGUUAGAACCCCAAACUCUAGAAUCUAUAGUUUUGCUAUAUAUAAAUCUAUGUUUACUUAUUUUUUCUACCUGUGCAGUUCUUAAUUGGAGAAUUUAACUCUAAUUUUGAUGGUUGAAUGUUGAUUGUAUAUAUGUGAACUUUCGAAAUUGAGACUGCAUAUUUCUUUUAUUUUUAUCGGUUUUCAUAUUUCUGGCCUAAAAAUAUUGAAAAUUUAGGGCUUUUCUUAUGUAAAUUGGUAUAUCUUAUAUUAGUUUUUGCUUACAAAAUAAAUAAAAAUGCUUUUUUUAUUUAAGGCUAAUUUUUGUUGAUUUUUAUAUUACUACCUUAAGGAUCGAGAAAUUUUUACUAAAUGCAAUCUUUUGGGUGUGUUAUAUCCAAUAGAAAGAUAUUUGAUUAUGAAUAUAAAUGAGUGAUUAAACAAAGUUUUAUUUUUUUUCAUACAGUGUGUGUCAUGUUGGAAUUUUCCUUUUUUAAUAUUUACUAUCCAGGAAAAAGUAUUUUCAUUUUGAACUUAUGUGUAUUUGUUGUAAAAAAUAAUGUAUAUUUAUUGUAAAAAAUAAAGUAAAAUCAUGAUCCAGACAGCGGACCCAAAUCUUGAAAGAUACAUUAUCUUUUUGCUUUAUGAUUUUGUUUUAUAUGAUUUGAUUUGCAACAUCUAAGUUUACUCCCUAUAAUACUGAUUGCUAUCAGUUAAUGUUGAUAAAAAAUAACAAAAUAAUAAUAAUAAUAAUAAUAAUAAUAAAAUAUCAUAAAUGGAAUACGAUUGUUUAUAAUAUUUCUUUAUGAAAAUUUAAUAAAUUAACAUAACCAAUUAAAAUUAAACUAUAUUUAUUUUUCCACCAAUAAAGUUAAAGUUUUUAAUGGUUUUUUUUUUAAUACAUAAACUUGAUAGGGAUGUUUAGGAACUCAUUGUUUUCUCUUCCCCAUUCUUCUUAAUAGAAUUUAAAUUCAAAUAGAAAAUUGACAUAGCCAAUUAAAAUUAAAUUAUUUUUAUUUUUUAACCAAUAAAAUACUGGGGCCAUUACUCUACGUAUGCAGCUCAGUAGAAAAGGACAUAUACGGGAUUCCUGUUACAAAAAGCCCAGUAUGUUUAGACAAAGAGAAGACCCUAGAAAAGAAGUAGAAGACAACUGAACUGGUGUUUAUUCAACAAAGCUGUUAGUCUUUAAAUAGCCUACUGCCAACCGGUAAUUACAAAAAACAAUCAGGAACUAAUAUCAAGCUUGGAAAGAUUAAUAAACAUUGUAUAUUAUACUUUUUAUUUUUAGAGAGUCUUUUAUGCAAUAUUAAUAUUUAUUGUUUUUUGAUGAUUAGUUACAUAUUAAAUUUUAAACUCAGAAAAGUGAGAAAAAAAGAUAAUAAUUUUAAAACUAAUGCAUCAGAAUAAUUUUUUUUAAAAUUAUUAUUUAUAAAUAGAUAAUCAACUACGUUAUUAUUUUUACCUUUUAUUUCACAACACGUCAGCUACAGCCGCUUUUAUUUCACAACUCGUUAGCAAUCGAUAUGCUCUUACAUACAUAACGAUUCUUGGUUUCGAAAUUAGCACAUGUGUGAAUUCAUACACCAAGGACACCAACUGUCCGCGUGAGAAUGUAUCACCAAGUUACUCCCUACUCCCAACUCGGUGAGUUUGUAGAAACUCAAUAAACUGGUCUAUGCAUCCAUUAUGAACAUCUCUAUUUGUAAUUAACUUCCUCAUCUCGUUAGCACUUUCUCUAUAUAAUUUUCCUUUCUCGUUAUCCAUAACCAGCAUCAGUGACUCGGCCAACGAUUCCUUUGUAAACGAUCCGUCUUGCGCAUUUCUUUUUACUUCUACCCCCAACUUCUUCUCUUCCAAAACCCUGGCAUUUAACCCUUGGGCAAUUGAGACGGGAAACAAAAUCAAUGCGAGUCCAAAAUUAAGUGCCUCUAUAAUUGAACUGAAGCCGCAGUGAGUCAAAAACCCGCCAACCGACUCAUGCCCUAGAAUUCUGAGUUGAGGUACCCAACUCGUCCACACUAUUCCACGUCCUUUCACUCUCUCUUCAAAUCCGUCCGGUAACUCGAACGAGUUACCUUGCUUCCUUAGAGUCCAAAAGAAUGGCAAUCCUGAUAGCUCUAAUCCAAGUGCCAAUUCAUUCAGAUCUUUUUGAUUCACUUCCGACUCACUUCCAAAUGCUAUGUAUAUGACAGAUCCUUUGUUUUGCUUGUCUAGCCAGCCACAGAUUUUAAGCCACGUUUCAUCAUCGCCACCUGUAACAUCCAGAUCUGACGGCGGAAGUAGGCCAAUUGGAAGCACAGGCUUACCGUGAAGUUGUUCAAAAAGCUUUAAAUGAUCAGCUUCUAACUCGAAGCAGCUCCUUACAGCAAGUACAUCGACUGCCGCCAUUACUGUACCUAGACGAUACAUAUCGGAUAAACCCGAAUCAUUUACUUCGAAAUGUUCAAAAGCUCUUUUUGCCUCAUGAAUCCGAUACGCAACUUUGGAGGGAAAUGGUACCCACUUAGGAGGGACAGUGAAACCCUCCGGUCGAGUCCGUUCAUCAUCACCGUUAAUCAAGGCCGACGAUGACGAUGCCAGGAAAGUUAUUGUCCAAGCGGAGAAAAUACUUAAAUAGGCACUAGAAAUGCCAAGAUCUGAAGUGAUCGGAGGUAGCCAGUGAGCGGCAAAAUCGUAAAUGAUCCAAUCUGGAGCAGAAAUUUUUAAAAACUGAAACAAGGGGUCUUUUAGCCCAUCAUAAGCUAUUUUAAGGUAAGGAGUUUUGUUGGUAGGUAUAUCCAUGGUGGCCUCUGCAUGAGGGGGAAGAUUGUCUACCUGAGGUAAGGGAAGGCUUAUGAAAUGUAUUUUGGAUGAUAAAUUUGGAGGGAUUUUUGG
rnacentral:lncRNA from 1 species